rnacentral:rRNA from 1 species
AGCGAACGCUGGCGGCACGCCUAACACAUGCAAGUCGAGCGGCAGCGAGACUAGUAGCAAUACUAGUUGUCGGCGAGCGGCGGACGGGUGAGUAACACGUAGGAAUCUGCCCUUAAGCGGGGGAUAACCAAGGGAAACUUUGGCUAAUACCGCAUAAUCUCGAGAGAGCAAAGCUGCCCGCAAGGGUGGCACUUGAGGAGGAGCAUGCGUCCGAUUAGCUAGUUGGUGGGGUAAUGGCCUACCAAGGCGAUGAUCGGUAACUGGUCUGAGAGGACGACCAGUCACACUGGGACUGAGACACGGCCCAGACUCCUACGGGAGGCAGCAGUGGGGAAUAUUGGACAAUGGGGGCAACCCUGAUCCAGCGAUGCCGCGUGAGUGAAGAAGGCCUUCGGGUCGUAAAGCUCUUUAGGUUGGGAAGAAGGGUAUUGGCUGAAUAAUCCAGUACUUUGACGGUACCGACAGAAUAAGCACCGGCAAACUCUGUGCCAGCCGCCGCCGUAAUAC